UACGGGGGGGGCAAGCGUUGUUCGGAAUUACUGGGUGUAAAGGGCUCGUAGGCGGCCAACUAAGUCAGACGUGAAAUCCCCAGGCUCAACCUGGGAACUGCGUCUGAUACUGGAUGGCUUGAAUCCGGGAGAGGGAUGCAGAAUUCCAGGUGUAGCGGUGAAAUGCGUAGAUAUCUGGAGGAACACCGGUGGCGAAGGCGGCGUCCUGGACCAACACUGACACUGAGGAGCGAAAGCCAGGGGAGCAAACGGG
rnacentral:rRNA from 1 species